rnacentral:rRNA from 1 species
CAGAACCUUGCAGUUAAGCGUGCUUGGGCGAGAGUAGUUCUAGGAUUGGUGACCUCGCGGGAAGUCCUCGUGUUACACCCC